UUGCUGGGUUACGUCCACAUCUGAAAGAAAGAAAGAGACAAGGAUAAACCAAUGGUGACGACUUGGCAUUGACAUAUCUUCAGUAGACGUGCUCACCUGUAUUCAGCCCCGCACCGAGUAAUCUGCACCGAACCCGUACCAGAAGUCACUUAAAACUCACCUUGCACUUGUGAUUCUGAAAUAAACACUGUGUUUGGAUUCACUUAACUCUGCCUCGCGUCUCUAUCCUGACAGAAGGUUUGACCAACACCGCUAUGAAUCCAACGCAGACUGAAGACAGUGCUUCUGCAAACACCGCUUCCACGCUGGUGUACAUCGCAAACACAGUCUCUCGACCAGUGCCCUUCUCUGGCCGGGCAGAAGAUUGCAAUGGGUUCCUACUGCAAUGCUCGCUCACCCUUGAACACGCCCACCAAUAUCCCACGGAAAGAUCCAAGAUCUCGUUUGUCAUCCAGCAGUUAUCCGGGGCAGCGUUAAGAUGGGCUGAAACGCUGUGGUUUCAAGAGACUCCGAUUACCUCUUCAUUACAAAGUUUCAUCAAUCAUUUCAAAGAAGUGUUUGGAUGUCCAGUAGGCGAUUCAUCAGUCAGCGACCAGCUAUUACAGUUACGUCAAGGUGAAAGAUCCAUUUCUGAGUACUCCCUGGAAUUCCGAACUCUAGCCUCAGCAAGCGGGUGGAAUGAGAAGGCCCUCCUUACUGUGUAUCAAAGAGGACUAAACCAACGCUUCGCCUUCUGCUCACCAUUUAUGAUGACACUUUGGGGCUAGAGAAACUUAUGCAACAAGCUCUCCGGGUUCAUCAAAGAUCACAACACUGCUAUCGAGACACUCAAAUAUCAGUUCCCGUUCCCCAUCCGAAUUUAUACGAAGUAUUCCCAGAACCGAAAUCAGAGAAGAUGCAAGUAGAAACCCACAGGCUGUCUCAAGCAGAAUGCAACCGUUGGCGAGAGUUGAAGCUAUGUCUCUACUGUGGGAACGGAGGUCACUUCCUACAAACAUGCCCAUCUCGUCCGCCUCGUAUGCUGUCACCGCCAUCGUGGACUCCGGAUCAGCAGGCAAUUUCAUAUCGGGAGGUCUCGUCAAGACUCUCAAGCUCAAAAGUACCAGUACCCCCAAGCCGUACUCCAUCCAUGCCGUGACUGGCGAAGUCAUCAACAAAGGCCAGGCUGACAUCAUCCUGGGUCGCCCAUGGCUCAUUCGACACCAACCUACCAUUAACUGGGAAUCUGGGAAGAUACUGAUCUGGGGUUGCAACUGCCUAUCCACCAGCAUAACAAUCCCCGUCCAACCUACGGACGACCAACUCGAACCAGUUCCACUUCCAUUGAAAGCCUAUCAGUCACAAUUCCUCCAUGUUACUCAUCUUUUUCAGAUGUGUUCAACCCUGUUGCAGCCUCCAGGUUACCACCACACCGACCUUGGGAUUGUGCUAUCAACUUGGUCCCAGGUGAAACCAUUUCAAAGGGUCGUAUCUAUUCAUUAUCCAUCCCCGAACAAACUGCCAUGCAAAGGUACAUUGAAGAGGCCCUGCAACAAGGGUAUAUCUGACCUUCCACCUCUCCAGCUGCCGCCAGCUUCUUCUUUGUCCCUAAAAAGGAUGAGGGUUUGCGGCCCUGUAUAGAUUAUAGAGCCCUAAAUAAGAUCACCGUAAAAUUCAGCUAUCCACUUUCGUUAGUGCCAUCCGCCCUAGAACAACUCAGAGAAGCGCGCAUAUUCACUAAGCUAGACCUGAGGAGUGCCUAUAACUUGAUCAGAAUUUGAGAAGGGGACGAAUGGAAAACGGCGUUCAUCACCACAGCAGGGCACUAAGAAUACCUUGUGACGCCGUAUGACCUAGUAAACGCCCCCUCUGUGUUCCAGAGUUUUAUGGACCAGGUCCUCCGAGAAUUCCUGAACCGCUUUGUUCUGGUUUACAUUGAUGAUAUACUUACCUUCUCCAGUGAUGAAACCGAACAUCAGCACCAUGUCUCCCAGGUCCUCCAACGGCUCAGAGAGCUUUCCCUGUUCCUAAAAGCAGAGAAGUGCGUUUUCCAUCAGACCUCCAUCGAAUUCCUGGGUUACCAUAUCAGUGAGAAAGGAGUUAAGAUGGAUGACCUUAAGACCCAAGCCAUCAGUUCCUGGCCCACUCCCAAGUCAAUCAAGGAGUUACAGAGGUUCCUGGGCUUUGCAAACUUUUACCGCCAGUUCAUAGACCGGUACAGUAUGCUAACAACACCAUUAACGUCUCUCCUGAAGGGGAAGCCGAAGACCCUUCACUGGACCCCAGACGCGGAACACGCCUUCCAAACGUUAAAGGCCGCCUUCACCAUGGCUCCCCUGCUCCAGCACCCAGACCCAGAAAAAAGAUUCAUCGUGGAGGUGGACGCUUAAACAACCGGCAUAGGGGCCAUCCUGUCGCAGUACCCAAAGAACUCCUCCAAACCCAUGCCUUGUGCAUUUUUCUCCCGAAAGUUAUCCCCCGCUGAGAGUAACUACGAUAUCGGCAACCGGGAACUCCUAGCCGUGAAACUCGUUCUGGAAGAAUGGAGGCAUUGGUUGGAGGGGGCCAGGCAUCCAUUUCUUGUACUUACCGACCACAGGAACCUCCAAUAUUUAAAGGAAGCCAAGAGGCUUAACCCCCAAUUCCUAUGUGUCCUGGGCUAUCAGCUGCCACUGUUUCCCUGGUCCGGUGAGCCAUCAGAAGUCCCUGCCGUGAAUGCCUGGAUCCAAGAUAGUGAGAGGGUUUGGAACCAGGCACACCACCACCUUCAGCAGGCAGUAAAUCGCCACCGGCACUUUGCUGAUACUCACCACCGCCAAACUCCCACCUACCAGCCUGGGCAAUUAGUAUGGCUCUCCACUCGUGAUAUCCGGUUGAAGCAACCAUGUCGCAAGUUAAGCCCAAAAUACAUCGGUCCAUUCCCUGUGGAGAGCCAAGUUAACCUGGUCACUUACAGACUUCGACUGCCCGCUCAGUAUUGGAUACACCCCACCUUUCAUGUCUCCCUUCUGAAACCCCAUCACUUACCUGUCUCUGUUCCCUCUGCAGACCCGGCCCCUGACAAUACCCCCCCCCCCCGAUACCGCCCAUAGAAGCCAAGCCCAUCUACACGGUCAAGGAGAUACUAGAUUCACCUCGUUGUGGUGGACGACUCGAGUACCUGGUGGACUGGGAGGAUUAUGGUCCAGAAGAGAGGUGUUGGGUACCUCGUCAUGAUAUCCUCGACCCCAAUCUGCUCACCGAGUUUCAUGCACAGUAUCCGGGGAAACCGGCUCUGCGGCCGCGCGGCAGACCCCCAUGACGUCGGGGUCUCAAGGACUCUGGAGGGGGGGGUAAUGUCAGGGACCAGUCAAGCCCGGUCCCAUCCACCUCACAACGAUCACUCUCCCCAGAGUACUAAUCACCCGCACCUGCUCACCAUUACCAACCUCAUCAUAGCACACCAUAAAACACUCCCCACAACCCCAGUUCAAUGUCAAACCUCCAACAGGAACAGACCAUAUGCUGUUGUCUCCUGACCUGCUGAUGCACCACGGAUUCAAGGACGUAACGUAUACUCACCUUUGAAACACUAACCCCUGUGUCAUUGUUCCACUGCUUCCAGGACUCCUGCUUGAUCCCCUGUUACCUGUGAGCUGAUGCUCAUCUGUACUUCCAGUGUUUCCCUCUGAGCUUGCUGGGUUACGUCCACAUCUGAAAGAAAGAAAGAGACAAGGAUUAACCAACGAUGACGACUUGGCAUUGACAUAUCUUCAGUAGACGUACUCACCUGCAUUCAGCCCCGCACUGAGUAAUCUGCACCAAACCCGCACCAGAAGUCACUGAAAAAUCAUCUUGCACUUGUGAUUCUGAAAUAAACACUGUUUGGAUUCACUUACCUCUGCCUCG
ensembl:lncRNA